rnacentral:tmRNA from 1 species
GGGGGCGAAACGGAUUCGACGGGGAUGUGUAAGCUCAUUGUUGCAUGCCGAGCUUCUAUUUGCUCGUAAAACCGAUAGAACAUAAAUAUAAUCGCAGACGAUUAUAACUACGCAGUAGCAGCUUAAUAACUGUCAUACUGCCGUCCCACCAGU